CGUCAAAAAAAAAAAGAAAGAAAGAAAAGAAAAGAAAAAAGAAAACUGAAGUUCAGAUUUGCUUGAGGUCACGCAGGUAGGAGGCAGCACUGGGCUGAGAUUUGAUUGCAGUCCAAUGGGAGCCCCUGCUUGUAACCCCUUAGGGCCAGGCCCUUCCACAGCCAUGGAGGUAAUGCCUGCCCAAGCUCCCUCCGGUCCCAGCCCCUGCAGCGGCUCUGGACCUACAGGGCUAUUGUUGGCAAGCUCCUGCCUGUCAGCCCCACAGACUCUCUGGGCCCCCUCUGAGAAGCCUGCUGGAUGGAACAUCCAGGGACCAGCCAUGCUGAGCCUCUCAGCCAAGAAGGAUUUGGGUUUGCUUUGGUGAGAAUCGACACCAACAGCCCUAUUGGCACAGCGCACGCUCAGGGAGGUGUCCUGGGUUCUUUCUUUUCCAAGUGCUAGGUAGAGACCCAGAAACUGGCAAGUCUCCAGAGGGGUGCCCCUACCCCUUCUCAACCUUAAGUUUCUCAUCUAUGGAAUGAGAGGGCUACACUAAGUCAUGGGUUUUUAUUUUUUAUUUUUUUUUGAAACGGAGUCUUGCUCUGUUGCCCAGGCUGGAGUGCAGUGGCGAGAUCUCGGCUCACUGCAACCUCCGCCUCCGGGUUCAAGUGAUUCUUGUGCCUCAGCUUCCUGAGUAGCUGAGAUUACAGGCGUUUGCCACCACGCAUGCCUGGCUAAUUUUUGUAUUUUUAGUAGAGAUGGGGUUUUGCCAUGAUGGCUAGGCUGGUCUCGAACUCCUGACCUCAGGUGAUCUGCCCACCUCGGCCUCCCAUGGUGCUGGGAUUACAGUUGUGAGCCACUACACCCAGCGGUCAGUGGUUUUUAAACCUUUUUUAGCAUUAAAAUUCUUAUUAUUUUUAUUCUUAUCAUUUUUAGAGACAAGGUCUCACUCUGUUACUUGGGCCAGAGUGCAGUGACAUGAUCAUAGUUCACUGCAGCCUCAAACUCCUGGGCUCCGGGGAUUCUCCUACCUCAGUCUCCUGAGCAGCUGGGACUACAGGUGAGUGCCACCACGCCCAGCUAGUUUUUGUAUUGUUUGUAGAGAUGGGGUUUCGCCAUGUUGCCCAGUCUGGUCUCAAAUUCCUGGACUCAAGUGAUCCGUCCGCCUCAGCUUCCCAAAAUGCUGGGAUUAUAGGCAGGAGCCACUGUGCCCAGCUGUGUUUUAAAAAACAGAUGAGGCCAGGUGUGGUGGCUCAUGCCUAUAAUCCCAGCACUUUGGGAGGCUGAGGUGGGCGGAUCACUUGAGCCCAGGAGUUUGAGACCAGCCUGGGCACAAUGGUGAGACCCUGUCUCUAUUAAAAACAAAACAAAACAAAACAAAAAAAUGCACAGAUGAGGCAGGACACAGUCUACCCUGGAAUGAAAUCCUGGAGGGUUUCUUAAAGGAUCAGGGCUUUAUAGACAGGUGGGAGUAAAGCAGGAAGAAAGGGGUCAGGAAAGCAGCCUGUGGCAUUUGAAAGAGCAAAAGCUUAGAUUCCUUUGGAUUCUUCCUUGACAUUUCCUACCCCAUGGCCGCAGGCAUAUAACAACUCCUCUGAGCUCAAUUUCCUCAUCUUUGAAAUGGGAAUAGCAAUAGGACUUCGGUCUUGGGUUGUUAUAGGACUUCAUUAACAUAUGUAAAGCUUUAGUAUAUAAUAGGAGCUCCAUAAAUAGUAGCUAUUAGAAUUGUUAAGGCAUUCUGACCUGGAGAACUGUGAGCUUGGGCCAGGGUAGGAGGGGUAGCAGAAGGGGAUGAAGUGUUCUAUUACUAAUAAUAGCAGCCAGCCCGUGCUCCUCAACACACCACCUCCAGGCCCUGGGCAAGGCACUUUACAUGUAUUAUCCCACUUAAUCUUUAUAACAGCAACUACAUAUUAACCCAUUUUUCGAAUGAAGAAACUGAGUCUCAAAGAGGCUGUGAACUGUGCUCAAGGUAACCCAGCGAGUAAUUCGCAGCACCUGAGGAUCCAUUGCCCCCAUCUGACUCCAGAGUCCCAGCUCUUUCCAUGUGUGAUAACCCUCUGCGCUCUGCAGUGAAAAACACAACUUUUUUUUUUUUUGGAGACAGAAUCUUGCUCUGUUCCCCAGGCUGGAGUGCAGUGGUGCACUAUCACUCCCAGCUAAUUUGUUAAAGAGCCGGGCGCCUUCUGGGCCCUAUGUGUGUUCAAUUUCCCUGACAGAUGCUCCCUUAGUACCAUGUUCUUCCCCUUUAUAGCCUGGAUUUCAGCUUGUGAUUAUACUUUUUGAAAAAACUAAGAUGGGCUGGGCGCAGUGGUUCAUGCCUGUAAUCCCAGCACUUUGGGAGGCCAAGGUGGGUGGAUCACCUGAGGUCAGGAGUUCAAGACCAGCCUGGCCAACAUGGAGAAACCCUGUCUCUACUAAAAACACAAAAAUUAACCGGGCGUGGUGGUGCUUACCUGUAAUCCCAGCUACUCAGGAGGCUGAAGCAGGAGGAUCACUUGAACUCGGGAGGCGGAGGUUGCAGUGAGCCGAGAUUGCACCACUGCACUCCAGUCUGGGUGAUAGAUAGAUUCC
rnacentral:lncRNA from 1 species